UAUAUAAAAGAUUUCUGCCUUGGAUGGCUACAAAAAAAAAUUUCAACUUAUCAAAAUUCAACUUUGGUUCUUAAAAGCAUGAAUAAAACAUAAUUUCUUCAAGACAUUUCCCAAAAUAUUUUGCUCAGACUUCACUGACAUUGACAGUUACAAGGAAUCAUCAGGAUUAUCUAGUAUGUUUUGCUGAAGAAAUCCUUAUUUGGUAAUUCUUGCAUCAUAUCUACAAAUUUUAAUUAAAAGGAAAGAAAAGGAACACCAUCAACAUUUUAACCCAUAUUGCAAAGGACAUGCAACGGGGGUUGCCUGAAUUCGACUGCUGAUUGUCUGAUUGCCCUUGAAGCUGUUAAGGGACUUUGUAGUGACCACUGACAAAAACAUCCUCUGGAAGCAUAUAGGAUAUGAAAUAUUACAGUCACUUAUCCAAGGAAGCUGAAAUGUUACCUUCUGGACACGAAGUACACACAUCAGCAGAUUUCUCACAGGUCAUACACGAAGAGUCACAGGACAGCAAUUUUCUAUUUCCAUCUGGGAUGAAAGGGAAAAAAGUUCCUUUUUUUACCACCUGUUUUUCUUAAUUUCUCCUCCCUUUAGAAGGGAUGCUAAGUAUGGGUUUUCCUAAGGUGUUUUGAAAAUGCACCUCUGUGAAUUUUUGGAAUUAAUGAAGUUGAAGAACUUAAUGAUUGUGCUUUGACUCCUCUCUCAUAAAUGUUAAGUUAUGAAUUGUAUUAAAGGAAAAUAUGAACCUUGUCCUCAUGUUAACUAAGGCAGUGUUCUGGACUGCUCAUCACAAAUGAGAACUAUAAUGAUGUUAUUAAUUUUAUAAUUAUCCCAAUAAUCUUGAUUUCAAUGUAGUUCUCCAAACCCAAAAACAGGUAUGUUAUACUAAUAGAUUAGUAUAAGUGUAAGAUCUAGAAAGUAUGUACAUUUGGGGACCUGUUUUAAUGAGGUAUUUCAUUGACAUUUUGAACAAAAUUGUUGCAGAACACCAUUACCCUGUAACCUAAAAGUUCUGAGUCAAAAGGAGACAGAAACCAUGUAAUCAUAGAAUAUGUUGCUUUGGAAGGGACCAUCAGUAUUGUUAAAGUCCAAGUCCUGGCCCUGUGCAGAACACCUCAUAAGCUGAGAGCAUUGUCCAAAUGUUCUUGAACUUUUGUCUGGCUUGGUGCUGUGUCCAUUUCCCUGGAAAGCAUGUUCCAGUACUCAGUCAUCCCCUAGGUGAAAAAUCUUUCCUGGUGUUGAGUGUUAAGCUCCCCUGACUAAGCUUCAUGCCUUUUUCUUGAGUGUUGUGACUGAUUACAAGAGUGAAGAGAUCCGUAUCUGCUGCUCCGCUUCUCCUUGUGAGAAUGAUGAAAACCACAGUGAAGUCUCCUCUACUGUAAGCUGAGCAAACCCAGUCUCUUCUUGUAAAGCUUCCCAUCCAGACCCUUCACCAUCCUCAUGGCUCAACUUUUGAUAUUCUUUAAUAGCUUAUUGUCUUUCCCAUAUUGUGCUGCCCAAAUCUGCACACAGUCCUCAGACUGAGCCUGCUCAGUGUGGAGAAGAGCAGGACAAUCUCGUCUUUGACCGGUUGUCAGUGCUAUGCUUAAAGUAUCCCAGCCCACACUUGGCUCUCCAGACUGCCAGGGCACACUGUUCUCUCACAUUCAACUUGCCAUCGACCAGAGCACCCAGGUCCCUUUCCACAGCACUUCUCUUCAGCCUCUUGCUCCUUAGUCUGUACAAGAAACUAGGGCUGCACUGUCCCAAGGUGCAGAAUGCAACUCUUGCCCAAAUUAGAAUUCAUACAGUUGAUGAUUGGCCAUCUCCCUAAUUUAUCAAGGGCUGAGAAAAACACUAACUAGUUCUCCCCAAAGGUACUACUGCCUGAUGUUUCCCUCCAAAAUGGAGCCUAAUGAGUGUCAAAUGAAAUUCCUAUGACUGUGGAAAAGCGAACUUUGAUUACACUUUGCAGAACCAUCAGUUAUAAAAUGACAAAGAGAUUGGAGCAUCAUACCUAACUGAAGAAAGUCUGCUGUGCAAUGUGCCCAUGUACCUGUCAUGCAGCUUUGUAUUUUGAUACGAGCAAAUUACAACAAUGGCUAAAUAUAAGUCUAAUGAAAAAAUAAUUAUGGACCAACAGACAAUACACAGAAGCCUUCUGAUUUUUGCUGAAAAUAGAGAAUAAAGACAAAGCCAAAAGUUACUUGCAGGUUGAGCUGUGUACCUCAUUUAGCACACCCAGCUCAUCCUGCCAGUUAAAUAUAUCUGAUUUCUGUAGGUUGAUUGGAGACAGUAACGAUUAGCCAAAUGCAGCAUAUCACUAAAUUCUUUUGUUCUGCCUGUUUUGGCAAGAUAGUUUAGAAUACUGAAAUUUUGAAUGGAAACCAUGGAAGCAAAUGCUUCAGGUAUAAAAACAAGGGAAGAAAACAAGAAACUUACAUAAAGCUCUUUCCCAUAAGGAGAAAUUAUGGGCAUUAUAAUAAGCAGGUGCAAAUUGUGUAUAUGCAUAUCAUACCACAGAAGAAGACAGAAUAGUAACAAAAAUAUGAGUAAGACCAUAUGAAUGAGUGAAGUUAGGUCCAUGCAGUGUGACUGGGGAUGGUCCACAAGAGUAUAUAAUAACCUGUAUAUAAUAUAUAUAUUUUAGUAUUAAUAUUAUAAUAAGUAUAUUAUUAUAAAUUGUAUUAUAUAAAUAUAUAAUCUGACACUACAAUUAGUUGAGAAGCCUCAAAAACUCAUUUAAGUAAAAAAGAAUCUCUAUGUAAUGAUCCAUGGAGAGCACAGCAGAUCAAAACCUGGGGGUUUAACAGAGGGUUGUUCAGCAAGAGCAUGAUUAGUCAGUCUUUGGCAGUAUUCACUAUUUGUGAAUACUACUUUUACAGGAUAAUGAAGGCCUGUGGUGUUGUUACUCUUCCUGGCAACUGGCACAAUAUAAACUUUCUCCAGAUAUAGCAGUAUCUUUAAAAGCAAAGUGAGAGAAUCUUACACCAAUCAGUAACAAGGGGAUGAAUGACUAGAGCCACUCAAGCUCCACCUGACACAGAGAAAUAGUGCAAAAGUAAGUUGACAAUGGGGGAAAAGGUGGAAAAGAGCCCAGCAUAACUGCUGGGGUCAGUCAGUGGGCUGAACCUGUCUUCUCCCCCACAAGGACACCUGUUGGGUCAGAAUCAUGUUCUCUGCAGGCAGAACAUUUCACUGGUGAUUAGAGUUUGUCUGUGUGUUACUUUGAGUACAUUUUUCCAGUCAGACGUUAUCACUGACAGCCUUUGAACCUUAAGUGAUUUUACACUAAUACAGAGUGUUGCUCCAUAAACUGUCAGUGUGUCGCUGGCAGUGGGUAACACACUCUGGUAAAGAGGAAGAUCUGCUGGGGGUCUGCAUUGCUGAUUUCCCUGACUGAGUCAGUGGAAGCACCCUCGGAUCCAGCGGGACCGCUCAGUGAAGGGUCCCCCUGAUGGGACACUGACAGAGGGCACAAGGGUCUCGGCUUUCCUGAGAUGCUGAAAGCAAAUCAAACACUAAGGGUCCAGGAAAUCCUCCCACACUAACACUCUUGCUGACAUAAUUAUGGCUCUUUCUCCCCUGAUGAAUACCUUUUUUUCUGUAUUUCAGGUUGCAAUAUGUUCUGCUAAAAGGACUCUACUGUCUAUAAUUGAAAUAUAAUUCCCUCUGUACCACUGAGUACAGAGGGAAGUUUGAGCCUUUUUUAAGGUGUGCACACAAGCAUUUAUGUGCACACAUGCAAAUAGUCCUCAAAUAGGUAAUUGCUAAGUUUUUUGAGAUUCACUGUCAAAGGGUUUUUUGGAGACACUACUCCUUAGCCUCAUAUUUUUCAUUGCUCUUCAAUAUUUAAUGAAAUAUUAAAAAGUGUCCUUAAUGUCAACUGUAAGAAUAUAAGAAAUAUUCCAGAAUAGUUGGCUGUUAUAAGGCUUUCUAUUAUCCUAAGUCUAUUUUUGCAGAGCUUCUCUCUUUUGCUAUUUUUGAGAGAAGAUCAGAUGAAGUUAAGUAGCGAAGUUGUUAAAUAUUGUGAUGAAUAUUUAAAGGAGCUCAUUUUUUCUAAAUGUUUGGAGCCUUACCAUGCAAAAUAAAGAUUUUUUUAAACUAGUUUUUAUUUCUGUUUCCCUUUUGCAGUAUGUCCUGUUUUUUGUAAUAGUUACUAGUUGCCACCAGAGGGGAAUGUACACAAGCAAUUAGGCUUCUGCUGACAACAGAAACAACAUUUAGCUUCCAGUCAAACAUAAGUAUUUGAAUUUCCCAAUUUAAAUAUUGACAGAAGAAAUUUGUAAAAAUUAUUUUUUUAAAAAAUAUUCUGGAUAGGUGAAAUGAGUCUUUCUUGUGACUGUGGCUUUCAUUUACUAAAAAAGCUAAUAAACAGCACACAUUUACAGUAAUAUGAUCUUCUUAAAUGAAAGGUUUGUUCACUUUAAAUGUAAGAUCCUUCCAAAGAAUAACUUUAUAAAGCUGAAGAAAUGGUCAUGCAACAUGUACUUCCUUGGUCUUUGGGCUGACUGCAAAUGGAAAGCUUGAAAAUUACUGGAUUUAAGCUCUUGGGUUAUACUUUCAUUUUCCUUGAAGAACUUAAACAUUCAACAAAAUGAAUGAUCUUUGGAGACCUACUGGGUUGUUUUUAUCCUUAAAUGUAUAUACUUUUUUUUCUCUCUUUUAUUUUUCUUAAAUCAAUAACCAUUUUUUAUUUUCAAAAGCUAAAGCUCUCUAUCUAAACUUGGGUCAGAAUAUGAGUCAAGAUCAUCUUUGUUCUUGUGUCUUUGUCAGAAUGAGUAACAUCUUUGGCUCAGGUAAGUCUCUCUUAUUCUUUUAUACAAUUUGAAAACCUGAAUCUCAUUAUUUCUUGAGCCAAAUUUUACUGCAGCUUUGAAGCUGCCUCAGUGCUUUUGUCCAUUCAGACUAUUCAAAGGAUUAUAAAACUGGAAGGGUGGAGAAAAACUGAUAAAUUUUUAUUCCUAUUCACUUUUCUCCUUUGGGAUUCUGCAUCAUGAGUGAGACAAUGGCAGAUUUUCUUGAAACAUAAAACUGUAGGAUGUGUACUGUGACCCCAAAAUGAAUUAAUGAACAAAAGAGUGAAAUAUUAUUUCUGAUUAACACAAUGUCCCCAUAUUUCCUUUAAUUUUGUUUCAGUCAUCUUCCUUUGAACUCACAACAUUUUUUCAAUCGACUUUUAGAAAAAAAUAAGUCCUCAAAAAUAUUCAGGGUAAAAAUUAUGGGUUCAUACAGAAACAAGUAUGGUCCUCUUCACAUGCUCACCAUUUUUUCUGGAAAAUAUGAAGUUUAUUUUAAAAUAAAAAGCUGAAGUCCUCUGAAGUUCCUCUGAGGACAUAUGAGCAGAGAUAUGGCCAUAUAUAAAGAAGCAUGUCUUAAAGUACAAAAGCAUUUUAAUUGCUUAAUAGUCCCUCCUUAAUUUCAUUCAGAAACCACAAUGGUGUUAAUAGGAGUUUUUUCUAGUUUCUCAUCUCCUUUGUGUUGUCCACCUUACCUGUUCUCUCUACCUGUUCCUUUAGAGAAUGGAUCUUUAGGCCAAGUAAUGCUAUCAGGAAGUGCUCAAACUGGCAAAAGGUGUUUUAUUUCCUUCAAUUUAAAUCUCUUGCUUUUCUGUGAAUAAAGAGGGGAUUUUAAACUUCCUACUUUUAGUUGCUAUCAAAGUAGGUCUCUGUGUAUAUUUAUAAUAUUCUUAGCUUCUAGAUCUUAAUUUCUGAAAGGAUUGCAUAUUUACAAUAUAUUUUGUAAUUGGACUGUGGUACAAUUACUGUACUGAGGGAUGCAGAAGGGAAUGAAGUGCUGUUUCUUACUGGGAUGGCAUUCCUUUUAGAAGGUGACCUGUCUAGUUUUUACACUGUGUAGUAAUAUGGGAUUUGAAUGUGAUCCAGUUGAAGGGUGGCUUCUUUUGUUAGAUUUUAUUUUGUGCAUGGCACUGUUCUUGCAAAGCUAAUACAAUCAUGAAUAAAAAAACCAAAACAGAUUACAUGUCUCCAUGAGGUAAUAGCAGUUAUAUAAAUAUAGUAAAAUAUAUUGAAAAUUAUAAACAUAUGUAAAAAAAUGCUAGACUUCUCCCAUUGUGAAGACUUAUGUGAAAUGUAACUUUAAAUAAACUACAGGAGUGCUGGGAAGUAAAUACCCUCCAAUAACCAUUCGUUAUCAAUUUAGUUAUCUUGAAAAAAUGAUAUUAUUUUACAAACAAAAAACCAGAAUAUGAAGUUGUCAUGGAUAAGAACAUAUUUGAUAAUGGACUGGUUUUCUCGCUUCUAGAAACCUGAAAUUUCACAUAUGGGUGGUGAUUAAAAUGUCUUCAACCUCUCCCCGUGAUGCUGUAAUUCUGCACUAUAAAUACCAUAGCAUUUUCAUGUUUAAAAGACUGUGACCCAUUCUCUCCUAUUGCUGAUUUCUCUCCUGUGUACUGCAUUUUUUUUUCCUCCCCAUAUUCUGAAAUCUUUAUAUGUAUGUAUACAGAGCUGCACUGAGGUCCAUUUAAAGCCUGAAUUAUUGUACUGAUUUUAUUUUUCUCAUCAGUACAUUUGUACCGAUUUUGUUUUGCUCUGGAUUUAGGAAAAGGAAAAUGCAGCUGGUUAGUGGUGCUUCUGGGAUGUUGCUCUUAUCAUUGGGGAUGGACCUUUAUGAUGCAACAAGAAUUUUCGAUAUAGACAGUAUGGUUGGAAAUCUGGACUCAGCUGACAUCUGCCCCUUGAAUGAAAUCAUCAAAAGAAAUGAGUUCUCUUCUCUUUGGAAGUGCAGAGGAAAAAGGCUCAGGAUAUCACCAGCUUCACAUCACUUUCCCAACAGUUACAUGGAACAGCAGCUGCCAUACUGGAGGAAACCCAGCGAGUCUGUCCAAGAGGAGAUGUACAGCCACCAGCCAUAUUCCCUGGGGUCCCAUCACCAGCAGGAAUCCUGUGUCUUUGGAGCAGUCAUUAAUGUUCCAGGCAGUACAGCUCUGAGUGAAACAUUAUCUUUCAGUUUGAAAUGUCCCUAGGACAGGUCUAUUUUUACUGCUGGAAGGAAAGACCAAUGAUAAGCAAGAUGGAGAGCAAGAAGUUUCACAGGACAGAAAUGUUCAUUUCUGCAGAGCUGCAUCAGGUAUAUGGUCAAAAGAAAAAAAUUGACAAGAAGUCACCGUGUUUAACAGUGUGAGAAAGAGAUAAUCAAUAGAUAGACCAGACUACAGAUGUGACCUUUCAUGGCACUGAUGUUAAUGUAGUCUUAAACUGAAAAAAACCAAGCUUGCUUCUGUCGAUUAAACACAAGGAAAUGCAUGUAGAAGAUCAACUUUCUAUUAAUAUUCUUAUUUUUAAGUCUCUGUAAUUUUUUUUUGAAGUGAUGAAAGAUUAUUCAUUUUGAUACAUUGUUUCUCCAACAGAUAGGCAAUUAAUUGAAAUGGUCAAUAUUUUUUCUGAAAGUAUUAAUCACUGUAUAUUUGUUUCUGAUACAAGAUCAUAUUGUUCUAAGGAUUGUCAUUCUUGGAUGUGUUUGAUUCAAAUGAAAACAUAGGAAUCAGACUUGAUUCAAAAAUACAGCUAGUAAGCUGGUCUUCUGCUUCAUUCAGAAACAUUCCUGUCAGACACUUUUCAUGUGUUCUCAAAAACUCCUAGUGAUGUAAAUCCCUAAACUUUAUAAUAGAUUCUGCUACUGUUCCAUUAUAAAAUUUAAAAGUCCCCCCUUUUUUUUUUUCCAAUGGCACAGUUUCAUUUUGUAACAUAAACCUUCGAUAGUUCUUUAUAUAUUGGCAUAAUGGGAAUGACAAAUAGUCUAUAUAUGCCCUCUUCAAUUAAAACUUUUUUAAUAAGAAAUUUGUGACAGUGCUAGGCUGCAUUUGAAGAUGGGUAGAAAGGAAAAUAAAGUUUAAAAUUAUUAUAGUGUUCUUCUUAAUAUCUCUAAAUAAAAACAUUUUCAUUCGAAA